UGAACCUGAGAGUUUGAUCCUGGCUCAGAGCGAACGCUGGCGGCAUGCUUAACACAUGCAAGUCGCACGAACCUUUCGGGGUUAGUGGCGGACGGGUGAGUAACGCGUAGGGAUCUGUCCAUGGGUGGGGGAUAACUUUGGGAAACUGAAGCUAAUACCGCAUGACACCUGA
rnacentral:rRNA from 1 species